rnacentral:sRNA from 1 species
GUUGCUGUUGCUGUUGUCAUUGCCGUCUCCCUUCCCUUCAUCCACUCACUCUUCUCGUCUGUGGCAUUAAAUUAAUUUUGCUCAUUUGGCGGAUAAGCACCAGCAACAGGGGAGAAGCAGCAGCAGCAGCAGCAGCAGCAGCAGCAGCAGCAGCAGCAGCAGCAGCAGCAGCAGCAGCAGCAGCAGCAGCAGCAGCAGCAGCAGCAGCAGCAGCAGCAGCAGCAGCAGCAGCAGCAGCAGCAGCAGUUGU